GACGAACGCUGGCGGCGUGCUUAACACAUUCAAGUCGAACGAAGAGCGAUGGAAGCUUGCUUCUAUCAAUCUUAGUGGCGAACGGGUGAGUAACGCGUAAUCAACCUGCCCUUCAGAGGGGGACAACAGUUGGAAACGACUGCUAAUACCGCAUACGAUCUAACCUCGGCAUCGAGGAAAGAUGAAAGGUGGCCUCUAUGUAUAAGCUAUCACUGAAGGAGGGGAUUGCGUCUGAUUAGCUAGUUGGAGGGGUAACGGCCCACCAAGGUGAUGAUCAGUAGUCGGUCGGAGAGGAUGAACGGCCACAUUGGGACGGAGACACGGCCCAGACUCCUACGGGAGGCAGCAGUGGGGAAUCUUCCGCAAUGGACGAAAGUCUGACGGAGCAACGCCGCGUGAGUGAUGACGGCCUUCGGGUUGGAAAGCUCUGUUAAUCGGGACGAAAGGCCUUCUUGCGAAUAGGGAGAAGGAUUGACGGUACCGGAAUAGAAAGCCACGGCUAACUACGUG
rnacentral:rRNA from 1 species